rnacentral:misc_RNA from 2 species
GGGGUUUAACGGCGUGGCCGCGACGAUUACCAGUAACGAGGGUUUUACUACUACGCUAUGGAAGCUCGACGUGACCGCCAAUCAAUUUGAGGAACGCGAAUUAACGCGAGUCCCAACACCAAGCUGUGCUUGAGGGUUGAAAUGACGCUCGAACAGGCAUGCCCGCCAGAAUACUGGCGGGCGCAAUGUGCGUUCAAAGAUUCGAUGAUUCACUGAAUUCUGCAAUUCACAUUACUUAUCGCAUUUUGCUGCGUUCUUCAUCGAUGCCAGAACCAAGAGAUCCGUUGUUGAAAGUUUUGAUUUAUUUAUGGUUUUACUCAGAAGUUACAUAUAGAAACAGAGUUUAGGGGUCCUCUGGCGGGCCGUCCCGUUUUACCGGGAGCGGGCUGAUCCGCCGAGGCAACAAGUGGUAUGUUCACAGGGGUUUGGGAGUUGUAAACUCGGUAAUGAUCCCUCCGCUGGUUCACCAACGGAGACCUUGUU